CUUGCAUCAGGAUGGGGUGGUCGCCAACGACGAUGCGCAUACAAAUGGAGGGCUGCAGGAUGACUUCUCAACUUCGCAUGCGCGGCAGCGUCUGCUCCGAUUAGAUCCAGAUGCGGAGGCCACUUGGAUUGUUGAUGAAGAACCUGAUGAAGCACUUGAGGUUAAGAAGGCAGUAGCCAACGAGAGUAGCUUCUCCAUCAGCGCGGGCGGCGACAAUGAAUGGCGUAGGAACACAUGCAAACAUCCACGCGACUAAAACAACAACCAGAUAUUCCGUCCUGUAUUUAAUCCUGGUAGAGGCGAAUUGAAGGCUAGCUACCCCAGAAACCAACUGUCCUGUAUCUCUAAUUACUAGGGUACAAACGGGAUGACCAGUAGCCUGAAUUUCAUUUGGCGGCGACC